rnacentral:rRNA from 1 species
CCUACGGGAGGCAGCAGUGAGGAAUAUUGGUCAAUGGACGAGAGUCUGAACCAGCCAAGUAGCGUGAAGGAUGACUGCCCUAUGGGUGGUAAACUUCGUUUAUAAAGGAAUAAAACGAGGCACGUGUGCAUUUUUGCAUGUACGUUAUGAAUAAGGAUCGGCUAACUCCGUGCCAGCAGCCGCGGUAAUACGGAGGAUCCGAGCGUUAUCCGGAUUUAUUGGGUUUAAAGGGAGCGUAGAUGGGUUGUUAAGUCAGUUGUGACAGUUUGCGGCUCACCCGUAAAAUUGCAAUUGAUACUGGCAGUCUUGCGUACAGUUGCGGUAGGCGGAAUUC